AAUCAGACCUCAACCAUGAUCAGAGCGACUGCUAGGUCGGCGCCCGAUCGGCAAGAAGAGAUUAGCAAAUUGAUGCGAAGUGCAAGUUUCAACACAGAUCCAUACGUCCGUGAAUUUGGAAUCAUGGUCAAAGAUGAGAUGACAGACGUGACUGGGCGGGUGCUGCAGCCGCCCUCCAUCCUCUACGGGGGCAGGGUACGUGUGGGGCGGCGGGGAACGUGUGGCUGCGGGGCAUGUCUCUGCCCUGCGACCCCUCUCAGGUUCUGAGCUAUCGCCCGCGGUGUAGACUGUGUUCCAUGCAGGAGAAUCCUUUCUACUCCCGGCUGAGCCUGUAAAAGACGUGAGAUUUCAUAAAGGAAUGGCUUUCCUUGGUCCUUUUUAAAGUUUUUCAGAAUUAUCCUUAAUGUUUUCAGAAGAUAAUUUUUAUUAUCCCAUGAAAGUUUAGAGAGCACCAUUCUGUGUGUGACAGACACUCACCGAGGGUCGAAUUAUUUCCCAGAAGGCUGUACUGCUUUUCUAUUCUUUAACUUUUGCUUUGGGGAUGUUUGGUAACAGUUUUUUGUCCUUGCUAAUUUAACUUCUGGUUUUGUUUGUUUUGAGGCAGGGUCUUGCUCUGUCACCCGAGCUAGAAGGCAGUGGCAUGACCUGACUAUAGGUCACUGCAGCCUCUAACUCCCGGGCUC
rnacentral:lncRNA from 10 species